rnacentral:lncRNA from 1 species
CUGGUUGCGGCGAGGUCUCUUCUCAAGUUCAACCACUUCCUCCUUCUCCUUCUCCUCCAACUCCGCCACCUUCCACUGACAAAGGUUUCGUUUCUUUAAAAUUACUGUAAUAAUUAAACCAUAAUAAUUAUAUAUAACUUUAUUUUUUUUCCAAUCCCGACGACAGUAACCGGGAAGAAGCGUGUGAGGAAAAACCCCUACAGAGGAAUCCGGCAACGUCCGUGGGGGAAAUGGGCAGCGGAGAUCCGUGAUCCGACUAAAGGUGUGCGUGUCUGGUUAGGUACUUUCAACACCGCCA